ACAUAUUUUCAGGUUCAGGGAAGACAGAUUACUGAGCAAGCAGGCAGUUUGAGAGGCAUGUGGAAACCUUCUGGGGCACAGGGACAACUGACCUUCAGUGAUCACACGGCAGUGUGAGAGGCCUGUGGAAAAUUACAGAGGUGUAGGGAAGACUGAUUAAGCUGAGCCAGCAGGCUGUGUGUGAAGCUCAAGGCAAGCUACUGGGGUGAAGGCCAGACUGACAUGGCUGGACAUUCUGGCAAUGUGAAGUGAUUCCAGACAUCUGUGGUGCAGGGAAGACUGAACCACCAUCAAGAGGAUGGCAGUGGGAGAGUUAUGUUGACACCUUUUCAAGUGUAGGUAAUCAGACUGAGGUCCAUCUCCAGGGGAGGUUUUUCCUGCAGUGGUGACUGGGAUGUGGAAGACCAUGGAAGUGAAAAGACUGACUACAUCAAAAGUCAUUGAUCACUUCCAGAACCUGGAUGCCAGAUCUGCACUGAGUGGGAGGCAGAUGGAUCAGCACUUGAGGUCCAGGGCACACAACCUGAGCUAAGGGCUCAGCUUGGCCACUUUGCUCAGAAAGCAGAAGAUGCAGCCCUGUCUGAAGCAGAAUUUCCACAGUUCUUUGGAACCUGUUAUUUUUACCAAUGCAGCUGCACUGAUGAGUGGAUGGGUCCCUCCUGGACACAUCCCAAAGAAAGCUGUUUUCAGAGAUGUGAUGCUGGACAUCAGUAUAACCUCUUUGGUCUCCCUUCACUCACUCACUUGACAGAUGUGUAGGGUCAUGCCCCAUUCCUAACUCUGAGUUUGUCAUAUCUCUCACAACUACCACAGAGCAACAUGCUGGUUCACCUCUGACUUGUGUAAUUUUUCAUCCUGCUAGAAUGCAGUUCUCAUGACCACAACUUCACACCUCUUGCUACUCAAUCUACACCACUCAGAACAGUGCUGGUUAUUCAAUAUAUGCAGGGAUAAUUGAAUAUUAAUUUUUAAAAAGUAGUCCUUCUGCUGCAAAGACUGUGGUUAUCUUAGACCUUAGGAAUGGAAACAAUGUCAUAUUCUUCCCCAUGUAGAACCUGGAUUCUGAUAUGAAAGACUUCAGGUAGGUUUCAUGUCAGAAAAUUGAAUCUGGUAAAAUUCUAAACAUGAUUGAGGCACAUUUCAGGAAAGAAGCCAAAUUUUGACCAAAGACUUGCAAUUUUAAUGGGCAUAUGGUACUAAGGCUCAAUUGUGUUGUUAUUUGGGAGUAUUGAAUGCACAUUUUGAAAAAAGUAAUAAGAGCUAAAAUGAAACUCAAUCCAUUAUUCCUAACUAGUACAUAAGCAGUAAAUUUUGCUAAAAAUAAAUUUUCUUGUCAAGUUUUAAUAUUUUAUUCAGUACUAAACACAUAUUUAGGCCAAUCAGAAAAUAACUUAGUGUAAUGUAAAGAAUUUAGAAAACUGAAUCUCACACCUAACUUUGAUAACAAUGGUAUAUGUGUAAAUUGCAAUGUUGAAAACCAAAGGUGGAUUAUAAAAAAAAUCCCUUUAUGAGUAAGACCUGAUAACAUAUGCAUAAAUGUCAUCCUUUUAGAAUGCCAUUAAAUAUUAGAAUAAAACAUUAGUAAUUCGGAAUGAAUUUAUUUAAUUUUAAGAAGAAGUUAGUUCUGAAUGACUUUGGGUACAUCAGGAAGAAAAUUUCCCAGAAACUAUGGAGCAGAUACUCCCUACAAUGGAUGUCUUUUGCAAAGAGUGAUGUGGGGGCCCUGACCCUGGAAACUGACUUGAGGGUUUAGCAAUUACAUGUGAAACCUGGUGAGAAUAUUGGCUAUCAUUUAUUCAGAGUUGAUGAUAUCAUCAGCCAGUCCCUGAAUCCAUUUUCAUAGAAACUUUUGAUAAAUAACUCAAACUAAGAAGGCACACUGCCAAGAAGUUACAUGGGGGGGGCACAUUCUCACAAGUUAAUGUUUAUGAACUUGAGUCUAUAUGCUGAAUCAGUGUUUCUGGACUUGAUGAUUCAUUACAUAGCUAGUUCCCUACCCUGGCUAUACACUGAGAACAUAACUUAGUUCACUGGACAUCUCCAGGUGAGAAUCUAACUACAGACAUGUUUGGACCUGCCUAACACCAAGCAGCUCUUGUCACCAGGAUAGAGCAGUCAACAGGAACCAAAGAGCACACAGAAGACUGAAGGUUGUUGGGGGUCCUACUUUGAGAGUGCCUUAGCACUUAAACUAAGUGACGCACAUCAGUGAUAACUUACCUUGACUCCUGGAAAUUGCUAUUUGGCAAAGAAGUGAGAGCAGGUGACAGAGAACCUGAUCAUCUCUAUUUCCCAGUCACCUCAGUCAUGAAUCCCAACUCACAAGCCCCUCUCAGAAACACAGGCAGAGGCUGAGGAGCACAGGUGUAUUUCUUCUGUGCUUGGAUGCAUAGAAGUUUGCAUGCAUUUGGCAAUAGGAACCCUGUAUCACACAGGGAAACAAAGAACUGAAUGUGCUUUUAUCAUUUCUGUAAGAGUUAUUUUGCUGAAUGCAGUGGUGCUUGACUGUAAUCCCAGUGGUUUGGGAGGCUGAGGCAGAAAGACCACAAAUUUAAUGUGAACCUCAGCAACUUAGUGAGGCCUUAAGCAACUUAGUAGGACCCUGUCUCUAAAUAAAAAGUGAC